UACGUAGGGUGCGAGCGUUGUCCGGAAUUAUGGCGUAAAGAGCUCGUAGGCGGUUUGUCGCGUCUGCUGUGAAAAACUCGGGGCUUAACUCCGGGCCUGCAGUGGGUACGGGCAGACUAGAGUGCGGUAGGGGAGACUGGAAUUCCUGGUGUAGCGGUGAAAUGCGCAGAUAUCAGGAGGAACACCAGCGGCGAAGGCGGCGCUCUGGGCCGGUACUGACACUGAGGAGCGAAAGCGUGGGUAGCAAACAGG
rnacentral:rRNA from 1 species